rnacentral:lncRNA from 1 species
GUGUCAGGGAGAUUUGGUUCUAUUUCCCUCUCCCAGUCCAUGUGCAGAGCAGAUCAAAGACCUGAUUACCUCUGUCUUUCCAAAGGCUCCAGAUGGUGUCUUUUUUUUUUUUUUUCCAGAUAUUUUAGCAGUAGAAUUCAAAGGACUAAAGAAUCUGUGUGAUGCUACAGAUGAAAGCUGCACCCAGGUGGUGUCUAUUCCCUGCUGGGGUGGAUCUCAACAGGGGUUCAGCUGUCCAACCUGAAUGGCCAAUGAGAGUUCCCAGCAGGGCCUUCUGCUGCUGUUGUCAUGAAGACAAACAAGGCUGCAUGCUCCACACUUCCUAUAUCCGGAAUGCAGUUGUACCACUCCUGGCAGCCAAUGGAAGCUAAGAAGUCAGCUUACCUGCUUUGCAAAAGUGGCCUGGCACCCAGGCUGGGCCACAGCUCUUCAUUUUAAUUAUUUUAGUUUUCAUAGAAAAUCUCUACAGGCCUGCUAAUUCAGUGGCUUUCAAACAUUUGGAGAUACAACCCACAGAAAAAAAGCAAAAAUACAGAAAUGCAUUUGAUACAUACCUAAAAACUAACAUAUAACUUGUACUAAAUUUUCAUGAAAUGACACUUAGCCUUAUUCUAUGUGAUACCCUCAAAAAAUAUUUUCAUUUUUGAUAUCAUAACCCAUGAUAGAUUGUGGCCUACAGUUUGAUAAGCAUUGUUCACACUAUUUUAACUGGAUUAAGCAUUUGUUUUUAUUUCAUUUUCUCUCCUCAAAGAGAAUGUAUAUCCUGUAAGGGCAAGGACAUUGCACAAGAGUGUCCUUGUAUUAAAUAAGGCAAAUAAUGGCAACUAGUAACUAGAGGCAUUUCCUUAUCCUCACAUUAUUGCGGUACCACAAAAAGGUGGUCUUCAUCAUUUUAAGGUCACUUACAUGUCAUUCAUAUCCUGGAAUCAUACCUGAAAUUUACAGAAUUAAAAGAAUUUUACCCAGAAGGCAGGUUUUACUCCUAGGAAACAGGUAGUAAUGAAGUUUCUCACCAUUUCUGAUAUUUUUUCUCAUUCCUACUCAGUCAUGUUUAUUGAACUUAAGGUUAUAGAAAUUUUCCAAGGGCUAGGCAUUUAUUAGCAUAUAAAUCUUCUAUUUUGACCCAGAGGGACUGUAUGGGGAGGGAGGUGGGAGGGGGGUUCACGAUGGGGAACACAAAUACACCUGUGGCAGGUUCAUGUCAAUGUAUGGCAAAACCAAUACAGUACUGAAAAGUAAUUAGCCUC